rnacentral:rRNA from 1 species
CACGUAGGGCGCACGCGUUGUCCGGAAUUAUUGGGCGUAAAGAGCUCGUAGGUGGUUUGUUACGUCUGCUGUGAAAACCUAGGGCUUAACCCUGGGCUUGCAGUGGAUACGGGCAGACUAGAGGUAGGUAGGGGAGAACGGAAUUCCUGGUGUAGCGGUGAAAUGCGCAGAUAUCAGGAGGAACACCGGUGGCGAAGGCGGUUCUCUGGGCCUUACCUGACACUGAGGAGCGAAAGCGUGGGGAGCGAACAGG